AUGGAGUCCUCCUCCUCCACCGCCGCCGCCGCUGCGGAGCACGCAGGUGGCGCGGCGGCGGGGGAGUACGAGGAGGUGCUGGCCCGGCUCUCCUCGCUCAUCACGCAGAAGGUGCGCGCGGACACCGGCAACCGCGGCAACCAGUGGGACCUCAUGGGCCGCUACCUCCAGAUUCUGGAGCUGGAGGAGCCCAUCGCGCGGAUGAAGGUCAUCCAUGUCGCCGGCACCAAAGGUCAUCCAUGUCGCGCGGCCCGAUCGGGAAGCUCCGAUUCGUCUGCCCACCAGUCAGGUACGCCCUCUCCGCUCCGCCCCGAUUCACCCCUUGCAUCAGUACGACGAUGCCCUAGGAGCAAGGGAGCUCAAGGCAGAACCAGGGCUCUUGCCCGUGGAUCCUUCCGCACCCCCAGUCCCGAUCCCGUGGAUGGCGUAGAAAUCCCUCUGCCCGUCUGCCGUAGCCGAGCUCCACGGUUGGUCGCUUGGUAUUUUUGA
rnacentral:rRNA from 1 species